AUGUGCAGCUUGGGGGAACCUGAGGAGCCUGGCCCUUGUGGGGACAUGCACACACCACACACAACAAACUCCUGCACCACCCCACAGGGCAGCAUGCCUGUGAACACGCCAGCACAAACCGUGCACACAUCACACACCCCUGCACCACCCCACAGUCCAGCAUGCCUGUGCACACGCCAGCACACACUGUGCACACAUCACACACACCUGCACCACCCCACAGGCCAGCAUGCCUGUGCACACGCCAGCACACACUGUGCACACAUCACACACAGCUGCACCACCCCACAGUCCAGCAUGCCUGUGCACACGCCAGCACACACUGUGCACACAUCACACACAGCUGCACCACCCCACAGGCCAGCAUGCCUGUGCACACGCCAGCACACACUGUGCACACAUCACACACAGCUGCACCACGCCACAGGCCAGCAUGCCUGUGCACACGCCAGCACACACUGUGCACACAUCACACACAGCUGCACCACGCCACAGGCCAGCAUGCCUGUGCACACGCCAGCACACACUGUGCACACAUCACACACAGCUGCACCACGCCACAGGCCAGCAUGCCUGUGCACACGCCAGCACACACUGUGCACACAUCACACACAGCUGCACCACCCCACAGGCCAGCAUGCCUGUGCACACGCCAGCACACACUGUGCAUACAUCACACACAGCUGCACCACCCCACAGGCCAGCAUGCCUGUGCACACGCCAGCACACACUACACACAUCACACACAGCUGCACCACCCCACAGGCCAGCAUGCCUGUGCACAUGCCAGCACACACUACACACAUCACACACAGCUGCACCACCCCACAGGCCAACAUGCCUGUGCACACGCCAGCACACACUACACACACAUCACACACAGCUGCACCACCCCACAGGCCAACAUGCCUGUGCACAUGCCAGCACACACUGCACACACAUCACACACACCCCACGUGCCUGCACAUACUUGCACAUACCCACACGUCUCUGCACCCACUGUUGUGCACACUCUUACAUGGCACUACUUCUCUCCAUAACCUCAGUGCAGCUGUGGGACUGAAGCGGGCAGCCUGCCUGCUCCCCUCUCUUAUCCCAGGGCUCUAG
rnacentral:lncRNA from 1 species